GAAGAAUUUGCCUCAUCACGGCUGGGAUUCCCUGGCUCCUCCCUUGGCUCUGGGCACUGGGAAAAUGGCCUGGGUCUUUUGGAGAGAGGAGAGAAAGGGCAUAGGUCAGGCUUAGCGGGGUGCGACUAGAAGGCCUGGAACCCCAUCUGAGCUGAGCAGUGCGGUUAAUAGUCAGCUAGGAUCCACACACUUCUUAGAAGCUGACUGAAGGGGACACACGGUUCAAAGCCAGCGUUAGUUCUUAUUUCCAGGAAGCACAAGACAGUUCUAGGCAUGUCUUCGACCUGCAAUGUGGCAAGAAAGGCCAAAGCUAGGUGCUCAUUUAGAAGGACCCCUGUUUAAUGUCCCUAUUGUUCUCUUUUCAAGACCUCUGUGGAGAGUGUCACCUACAGACAAACUGUCCUCCCUCAACCAGGCCGGUAGGGAGAGAAAACUGAGAUGUGGAAAGCUCUGGAGGAGACCUGGAGACCAAGCAAAAUCUUCCCAUGACUUGGGCGCACUGGGAAUAAAACUAACAUUUGAAAACCAUUUUACUUAAGUUUUUCUUUUGUUUUGUUUAUUUGUUUGUUUGUUUGUUUGAGACGGGGAGACGGGGUCUUUCCAUGCAACCUUAGCUGUCCUGGAACUUGCUCUGUAGACCAUGCUGACCCUGAACUCGAGAGCUCUUCCUGCCUCUGCCUCCAAGUACUGAGAUUAAAGCUGUUCACCACCCUGCCUGGGCUCAGAAGUUUUUACAAAUUCCACUUUCCUUUUUCUUAUUUAUUUUGUGGCACUGAAGAUGAGAUUUAGGGCUUUGAUGGGGCUGCAGCCUCAGCUUCCUUUUUUUACAUACCUUUCCUUUACAUUUGUUUAAUCUACUUUUGUGUUUGCAGG
rnacentral:lncRNA from 1 species